GCCCGGGUAGCUCAGUUGGUAGAGCGAUUCACUCGUAAUGAAUAGGUCAGGGGUUCAAUUCCCCUCUCGGGCUCAA
rnacentral:tRNA from 3 species